rnacentral:rRNA from 1 species
AUGGAAGGUGUUCAACCAGUCAACUUGCGUCUGUAUCGCCACAAACCUGAACUGAAGACUGAAACUGAAAGACAAAUGAAGGAACUAUUGGAUGCUGGCAUUAUUCAGAAGAGCACCAGUCCCUUUUCCUCGCCUGCCCUGCUAGUGAAGAAGAAAGACGGUACCUGGCGCAUGUGCGUGGACUACAGGCACCUGAAUGCUAUGAUUAUCGUCAGCAAAUACCUGGUGCCGAUUAUCGAUGAACUUUUAGAUAAAUUGGUGGGUGGCCGUUGGUUUUCCAAGCUGGAUUUGCGUGCAAGGUACCAUUAG